AAUAUGACAUCAAAAUGACACCAUUGCUUAGAAGGAUCUCCUCCAUCCAUAGAACGUGAACAAAUGUGUGGAUGUAGAAGUGAUCUUAGAAAGAUCUAUGCUGUAUGAAGCAAACGUGUCAUAAACUAGAACAGAGCAAGGGCUCAUUUUGGUGACACUCAAUCCCAGAGGGCUGAUUUUACUUGUGCUAUAAUUAAGAACUGAUCUCGAAGGUUGUCAAGCUGUUCGAUGGUCAGGGUGCCAUUUUCUUCCUUUUCUAUGGGUGGAGGACGUACUGGAGGAGGGGAAUCUGGAAAGACUUUUACAUCACCAUUAAUAAAGAAAUC